rnacentral:ribozyme from 1 species
CCGAAGUUACGAUCGUACCAAGGUAGCAGAACUCCUCUACUACCUCAAGAUCGUCGCCGUCAACUAAUACUCUGAACUAAUACGCCUAGAUCCAAGCUUGGGUACACGGGGAAACCCAAUCCUUUGGGCGGAUGGGCGGCAAGGCUGAAUUGAGAGGU